rnacentral:rRNA from 1 species
CACGUAGGGUGCGAGCGUUGUCCGGAAUUAUUGGGCGUAAAGAGCUCGUAGGCGGUGUGUCGCGUCGGCCGUGAAAACCUGUGGCUUAACUAUGGGCUUGCGGUCGAUACGGGCAUCACUGGAGUUCGGCAGGGGAGACUGGAAUUCCUGGUGUAGCGGUGAAAUGCGCAGAUAUCAGGAGGAACACCGGUGGCGAAGGCGGGUCUCUGGGCAACAACUGACGCUGAGGAGCGAAAGCGUGGGGAGCGAACAGG